UCACUUUCAGGAAGUGAACGGUUGUGUUCUGUUGGGCGCAUUCGUACAGUAGGUCGGCGAUGUCCAUUAAUAAGGCUUUGUGCUUGGAAAUAUGCAGUUUACUCGGAUCGUUUACUGCUCUUUUGAUAAGAUCCAGUGAGGCUUGCGAGUCAGUGGCAAUUGUUAAGGUGAUGUUCACUGCCCUUUGGGUUGAUAGAGCUACGCGUAUUGCUGCCAGCUCUGCCCGUUGGAUGGUAUUCGUACAUCCUUCGCCCGCUGGGUCGAUGUGCAGCGUUUUUCCGGUGGGUCCACAGUAUGCAGCCGCACCCAACUUGUUCUGGCCGUCGUUUUCAGCCGAUUUAAUACAGCUACCGUCGGUCCAUAUGAUAGUGUGCGGGUCCAUCCUGAGUGGUACUUGUCCGGGAAAAGCUGCUGUCAGGCGCUGCUGGAGCAUCUGUCCGUCCGAGUGGGGGGCUGUGGCGGUUGGUCUUGGUCUGGGCGGCUUUGAGGCAUUCAUCUUGCGCAUGACCUGAGCGACUUUGUUUGGGUAGGGUCGUUGGGUGCCGACGCAGUGAGUACCCGCGGACAUGUCCCGCAGUCGCAGAUGUUUUCUGGGGAGGCCGGUGGCGUCCAUCGCUUCGAGUUCGGAUAGGAGCGCCUUCAUGGAUCGGGCGUUUAGUCCUCGGAUCGCCGUGUCGUUGGCCACCACGACGAGGUCCAGGCCCCCCUUGUAGUCAGGGCUGGGGCCGUCAGUUCCAGUCCCGCUGGUAAGCUUGCACGCUUCACCGCGGCUCAGCCGCGCGAGCUGGAAGACAUACGGUGUGUUGUGUAGCUGCGUGUGGGGGCCAGUUCGGCUGUGCGGGACAAUGAGUAGUGGCGGUGGGCAGUGCGGAUGUCAUUGUGUGUGAUGCGCCUGCGACUGCCCACAUUACUGCCUUCUUGACACUGGUGGGGUCAGGGUUCGGGUGUGCUAUCGAGAGGCCUGUAAAUGGCUGAGAGAAUGCAUCUAUGUUUGCCCCGAAGAGUUGGUCUUCUACGUGGACACUGAAGUAGUAUUGCACCUCUUCACCGCAGUUAAGCGGGGAUGAGAACCUUUCGACGACUGGACCGGCAUCCAGGGCGCGCAGGGCAUCAAUCAGCGUACAGCGCAGUUUUCUGCUCAUGGUCGCCUGCGACCGUGGCGGGCCUUUCGUUUCACGCCCGUCGGGGUCCUUUCCGUACCGCAGGAGGAGGCGCGCGAGGUCCUCGGUGAAGCCGCCCUGGGAGGACAGGCUUCUGUGCACCUCCGGGUAAGUGUCGAUCGUGUGUUGGUAUCGCACUUUGAGGGUCUCCAGGCGUUGCAGGGUGAGGGUGCCCACGCAUUUCCCUCUCGGGUCGUAGACGAAGGCCGUGUUCCCUUCGGUCGAGCCGCCCUCUCUGGUUAGCAGACCUAGCUGGAUUCGGUAAUUUCCCGUGGGGCGCGUGUCCAUGUAUGGGUUGCACGGCGCAGUCUCAAAGGUAGUGUUUGCUCGAAUAAGGCGUGCCCGCUGGGUCUGCUCCGAGGGGGGCGGGUUCCAUCGGCCUUGCCUCUGAGGGUUCGUUAGAUUGCUGUCCUUGGGUUUGGGGUAUCUCGAGAGGGGGUUCACGCUCUGCGACCUCGUUUGCUCGUACCUCGCCAUCGCCGCUGGUCCGUUGGGUAGCCUACCGAGUUGCGCGGCGGGGACAUCUGACGGUUCCCAUACCGCUCUGCGGAAGUGGCGGUCGAUCCGCGUGCCGUAAAGACCUGUCACUGGUAAUAGCUGUCUGGGCACGUAUCCCAUGCUGGCGUAUGCGCCGACGAUAGAUAUCGGGGUGAUAGUGUCUUUCCAGCGAACCGUGUAGUACUGUUCGUGGGUUGCGGUCGUAUCGGCCCCGAUUUUCUGUUUCUUGGGAGGUUUAACGUUUGAGGGGACGAUGCGUUUUGUGAUAGGGCCCGCGAGUACUUCUACGAUGUCCUCUACAUCGUUGUAUAGGUCAUAAACUAUCUGUUGUUGCCCCGUUGUGUCCUUUGCCUGGCCUUUUCCAGGCUUCCAGGGUAUCCUGUCCUCCAGUAUUUGAUCGCGGGCGACUUUCCAUCGAGGUCUCCACCAUUGCAGGGUGAGGUGCUCUGGUGGCUUCGGCGUCCCCGGUAGCGCUCCGGCCGGUUCGGGCGCAGGCGGAUCACCGGCGUGGUCCCUGUCGGCGGUGUUCGGGCCGGCCCUUGCCGCCCCCGCGCCUGCGCCGGCGCGAGGGUUACGUGGCGCUACCGGCGUACAGUCGAGUCCCUUUUCUGCAAGGUACACCAGCACUGGGUUUGGGGUACCGAUUUCUCCUGUCACGGGGGUCAUGCCGAUGCUUAGAGUGCGACGGGUUUGCCGGCUUGGGCGCGGUCGCGGUCCCUGGACGAUAGGCCCAGGGGGGUUCCCUAGGUUGGGCACACUCCUACGGGUGUCUUUUCGCAGAGCUGCCAUGACGCAUCUCGUUUCCAUAUAGGAUGUGCAUUGCGGGGCCGGGUCGCGAAGUUGCGCGCCGUGUAUAGCUGCACUAUCUGUUCCCACGUUACUGUUGUCACAGCGUGUAUUGUUGUUGAUGAAAUCCUGUUGCCGCUGGUGGACGGAUCUUGUGCGUUUCCGUCCUGUGCAGGCUGGUUCCGCAGGGUGGCUCGGCGGCGCUGGUGGGUCACUCUCCAUGUCGUCUGGCUCUGCGCGGGGAUGGUGUGGCUUCUCCGUGGUCGUGCUCCACACGACAGGUGUGUCACGGCGUACAUGUGGGUCGAGGGAUGGUGCUAGUAUCGGGUUGGGGAGACUUGAUUUGUGCCGGCGGCCGGUGUACGGAGGGUCACUGGGGAUCUCGCGGAGGCGUCUGUCUUCCAGAGGCAGCGCGGACGACCAGCGACGUGGGUCAUGUGCCUUCGUGUGUGGAGCUUGGGGGCAUUGGGCACUUAUCGCUAGGCUUAGUCGAUUCAAGGCGAUCUUGUGCCGGUGCUGCACCUUGCCCCGGGGGAAAAGCUUCUGAAGAUCAGUGGUGGUGAUGAGGUGUUGUGUUGUGUUCUUGUCUAUGAGCGCGUGCAUGUCUAGGCCCAGCUCUGUCAAGGGGAGCAAGCAUCUGUACGGCAGGGUUUCGGACUUUGUGUCCUGCCGCGCGUUGACGGCGGAGGCGGCCGUCAUGAGAGUGUUUAGGGAUGUGUUAUACGGCAUCCCUUUGUCGGUGACCGCGAUGCCAUGGUCUCGCGCCAGGGUCAGCUGUUUCAGGGUCGUGUAGAAACUGCUCUCGCGUUUCAACGUGUGCAUCCUAGUGUCGGCCGCAAGACGACACUGCAGCUCAAGCAUGGCUCGUGUCACGACGCCUAGCCGGCCUUCAUCAUUCAGGGAGAGGACCAGCGCGCAAGCUGCCAUGCGCACAUAGAUCGGUAGCAGGGACCCAACGCCGAGUCCAUAUUGUUCCACCGGUAGCAGCACGGCGCGUGUGGGAAAACUGGUGGGCAAGCGGUAGCAGCGUCGGGCUGCGCGUGCGAUCAUCGCGUCCAAAAGUCUGAUAUCAUUAGGAGUGUAUGCCAUGGUGGAGAAGCUGUAUGACACUACUGCUUGUAUACAAGUCUGUAUGAUUCUGAUACAUUGGUCCGGCGAUGCUAGGGAUCCCUGAAGUAGGUCGCCCUUGUCCCUCACCGCCUUGCAGACGUGGGACAUCUGUGCGCUCCAGUUGAGGGUCAGCGUUACGUGGACCCCAAGGUACUUGUAGGGUUCCGUGGGGGGUAGGUACGGCACUGACUGGCCGCUGAUUUUGAUUUUUUCAUCCAAGGCUGCCUUGAGGGUGCGUGCACACGUGGGUCCGUUCAGACCUCGGUCGGCCCAUGCCCUGUGGUGCAGGAUGCCCGUCACUGCGCAUUUUUUGUGAUUCACGUGUAGGCCCGCUCAUUUCGAGUACAAGCUGAUCUUGUCGCAUUGUAUUUGUAGGUCUUGUGCGCUGUUGGUCAUCACGGCGAGGUCGUCGGCGUAAGCGGCUGAGCUUCCAUGGUACCUGGCGUUCAGGCUGUCGGGGAGGCAGCCGUACUUGUACCCUCGUCCGCCAGCGUGGAGCCAUCGGAGGAGUGGUUCGAGGAAAAUAAUGAAUAGCACCGGCGAGAGCCUGUCCCCCUGUACUGUGCCUCGUUCGAUCAUUAUUGGCGCUGUGAGGCCGUGUUCUGUCCGUAUAGUGGUCCGCGCUUGGCUGUACAGAUCCCGUACGACAUAGAUGAGGUCCUCGGGUAGCCCUAGGUCGUACAUGAUCUGUAGCAGCAGGUCGUGGUUGAUGGUGUUGAAUGCCGAGGAGAAGUCGACGUAUAACAGGUAGAGAUCUUUGCGUGUGAGCCCAGCAUCCUCAAUGACGUGGAGCAGGUUUUGGAUUUGCCGUUCCGUGUUUCUGUACUGGAGGAACCCUUCUUGCGCCUCGCUAAACAACGCGAGUUCGGGAGCGACGUCCCCGAUGGACACUGUGACGAGGCUAGUCCAUAACUUAUAAAGAGUGUUGGCGAGGGCAAUGGGUCGCUUGUUGUUCAGGAGGAGCGCAUCUCCUGCUUUUGGUAAAAGGACCGUAACGGAUUCAGUCCAUUGCUUUGGCGUGCGGGCCUGGGCCCACAUGACUUUCAGGAGGUCGUGGAUGGUGGACUGUAAGGCAGUGGGCAAUGCUCUCAGUAGCUCGUUAGGUAUCCCAUCGGGUCCCGGUGUUUUAUUGCGGGCCAGGUGUUGGACACACUUGUUAAAGUUAAAAGGGUCGGCGACGCUGCUAAGCAGGACGUGGUCCGCGGCCUGUUUCGGGCUGGUNNNNNNNNNNNNNNNNNNNNNNNNNNNNNNNNNNNNNNNNNNNNNNNNNNNNNNNNNNNNNNNNNNNNNNNNNNNNNNNNNNNNNNNNNNNNNNNNNNNNNNNNNCUGUGCGCGGGGAGGUCGGGAUGAACAUGAUGUCUGGGCGGAGGCGACGGAUUCCUCGUCCGCUAAGUGUGGCAGCAUCCAUUUGGGGACGCGCGUCCCACUGCAGUACGGCGGGAGAUCCUCUUCUUUACCGGCGUCCAUAAUCAUGAAGCCACCACCGUGGUGGCCCCCGUUGACGCAGUCGGCAAUAGUGCGCGUCGCUUGGUUAUGCCGGUUGAUGUACAUGCCCUUCAUGGUUGGGUGGGGGCACCCGCCGAGUAUGUGGGCUCCUGAGUCGGGUGUGGGGCCGGUCGGGCCGCAGCUGCGGCAGAUAGGGCAGUUGCCGUCUCCGCCUCGUCCGUAAAGUUUCUUUAGUUUAGCAUUGAAUAGCAGCCCGUAUCGAGCUUUCAGUACUUGCAGUUUGAGCCAGUGUGACAUCUUUGCGUUACUAAGGAAGGAAUUGCUAGAUUUGGGGUCUAACUUCGAGGCGGUGUUACGCCAUUUUUCAGUUAGUAUUGUGUCGUUGGUAUAGCCUGCGAAGGUACCUUGCUGGAGACGCUUAUAAAGGCCUUUGUUCAGGUCACUAACGUACAGACCAGUGUCGCGUUGUUUCAGCCAGAACACUUUAUCGAACGGGGCAUUGUCGGCCUUUUCAGUAAAUGUUGGUGGGUUCUCACCUCGUGCGACAGAUGUUGCUCCUUUGUCAGCUUUGUCAUUACCAUCAAGGCCUGUGUGUGAUUUCACUUUCAGGAAGUGAACGGUUGUGUUCUGUUGGGCGCAUUCGUACAGUAGGUCGGCGAUGUCCAUUAAUAAGGCUUUGUGCUUGGAAAUAUGCAGUUUACUCGGAUCGUUUACUGCUCUUUUGAUAAGAUCCAGUGAGGCUUGCGAGUCAGUGGCAAUUGUUAAGGUGAUGUUCACUGCCCUUUGGGUUGAUAGAGCUACGCGUAUUGCUGCCAGCUCUGCCCGUUGGAUGGUAUUCGUACAUCCUUCGCCCGCUGGGUCGAUGUGCAGCGUUUUUCCGGUGGGU
rnacentral:lncRNA from 1 species